AAGAAAAAAAAUAUAAGUUAGAGAAAUUGUGAAAGAUGAAAUCCAAAAUGUUAAAAGAAACAUUCUUUUUUAUGGCAAUUACGACAAUUAUGUUUUCUUUUCCAUUUUCAGUGUAUGCAGAUGAAAAAAAUGAAUAUCACCAAUGUGUGGCUGAAUGUUCCUCAACUUGCUUUGCUGACAUUGCUGGUUGCUAUGAACAUUGUUCACAAGAUUGUAAACAUCCUAAUUUUUAUGCGUCAAAAUUUUGGAUGCACUGCCAAUUUAAAGUUUGUGAGAAGGUUAAAGAUAAGGAGUGGAUGAAGAUUUGUCUUAAGAGAUGCGGGAAUUUGGCCCCUGCACCAUAAAAUCAAAGGUUGAGAAAUGAUUGUCAUAGAAAUGAGUGAAAUAUGAUACUUUAAUUAAUUAAUGUAAUAAAAAGGAUGUAAAUUUUAUUGUUAUUCCUAGUGAAAGUUUUAUCUUUUAA